AUUGAACGCUGGCGGAAUGCUUUACACAUGCAAGUCGAGCGGCAGCGCGGGGCAACCUGGCGGCGAGCGGCGAACGGGUGAGUAAUGUAUCGGAACGUAUCCUUAAGUGGGGGACAACUAGUCGAAAGACUAGCUAAUACCGCAUACGAUCGAGAGAUGAAAGUGGGGGACCGCAAGGCCUCACGCUUUUGGAGCGGCCGAUAUCCGAUUAGCUUGUUGGUGAGGUAAAGGCUUACCAAGGCUAUGAUCGGUAGCUGGUCUGAGAGGAUGAUCAGCCACACUGGGACUGAGACACGGCCCAGACUCCUACGGGAGGCAGCAGUGGGGAAUUUUGGACAAUGGGGGAAACCCCGAUCCAGCCAUGCCGCGUGCAGGAUGAAGGCCUUCGGGUUGUAAACUGCUUUUGUACGGAACGAAAAGACUCUUUCUAAUACAGAGGGUCCAUGACGGUACCGUAAGAAUAAGCACCGGCUAACUACGUG
rnacentral:rRNA from 1 species